rnacentral:lncRNA from 1 species
UUUGAUUUAAUAAUAAAAUAUUAAAGUCCUUAUUUUAAUUAUUGAUUAAAAUAAUUAAGGUUUAUAAUUAUUGAAGGAAUUGCUAUUUACUGAUUUCACAUUAUUGACCACUUUGAAAACAAAUUUAUAUAUAAUUUUCCUUAGAAAUAGUAAAAAAGGGUUCAAUAAAUAUGAAUUUGGAGACCCAAGUUUAAUUAGAUUUUCUUCACAUGGUAGGUUCAAAUGUGAAAAGAUUUUCUAAGCAACAUUAUUUUUUUUUU